rnacentral:rRNA from 1 species
GACGAACGCUGGCGGCGUGCCUAAUACAUGCAAGUCGAGCGGACAGAAGGGAGCUUGCUCCCGGAUGUUAGCGGCGGACGGGUGAAUAACACGUGGGUAACCUGCCUGUAAGACUGGGAUAACUCCGGGAAACCGGAGCUAAUACCGGAUAGUUCUUUGAACCGCAUGGUUCAAGGAUGAAAGACGGUUUCGGCUGUCACUUACAGAUGGACCCGCGGCGCAUUAGCUAGUUGGUGAGGUAACGGCUCACCAAGGCGACGAUGCGUAGCCGACCCGAGAGGGUGAUCGGCCACACUGGGACUGAGACACGGCCCAGACUCCUACGGGAGGCAGCAGUAGGGAAGCUUCCGCAAUGGACGAAAGUCUGACGGAGCAACGCCGCGUGAGUGAUGAAGGUUUUCGGAUCGUAAAGCUCUGUUGUUAGGGAAGAACAAGUGCAAGAGUAACUGCUUGCACCUUGACGGUACCUAACCAGAAAGCCACGGCUAACUACGUGCCAGCCGCCGCCGUAAAAC